rnacentral:lncRNA from 1 species
CCUAGAAAGGGACGGUCGGACUUGGAACGGGGUCCGAGGCCUCGAAAGUCCACAUCUAGCUACUGGGUGGUCCGAUUCUGAGUGAUCUCGAAGUUUCUUGCCCACAAAAGCCGAACGGUGACGCCCCAGACUCGGUUUCUUGGUUUCGUCCCAAAACGCCGAAGAAAGGCACAAUGGCCUAGAAAGGGACGGUCGGACUUGGAACGGGGUCCGAGGCCUCGAAAGUCCACAUCUAGCUACUGGGUGGUCCGAUUCUGAGUGAUCUCGAAGUUUCUUGCCCACAAAAGCCGAACGGUGACGCCCCAGACUCGGUUUCUUGGUUCCGUCCCAAAACGCCGAAGAAAGGCACAAUGGCCUAGAAAGGGACGGUCGGACUUGGAACGGGGUCCGAGGCCUCGAAAGUCCACAUCUAGCUACUGGGUGGUCCGAUUCUGAGUGAUCUCGAAGUUUCUUGCCCACAAAAGCCGAACGGUGACGCCCCAGACUCGGUUUCUUGGUUCCGUCCCAAAACGCCGAAGAAAGGCACAAUGGCCUAGAAAGGGACGGUCGGACUUGGAACGGGGUCCGAGGCCUCGAAAGUCCACAUCUAGCUACUGGGUGGUCCGAUUCUGAGUGAUCUCGAAGUUUCUUGCCCACAAAAGCCGAACGGUGACGCCCCAGACUCGGUUUCUUGGUUCCGUCCCAAAACGCCGAAGAAAGGCACAAUGGCCUAGAAAGGGACGGUCGGACUUGGAACGGGGUCCGAGGCCUCGAAAGUCCACAUCUAGCUACUGGGUGGUCCGAUUCUGAGUGAUCUCGAAGUUUCUUGCCCACAAAAGCCGAACGGUGACGCCCCAGACUCGGUUUCUUGGUUCCGUCCCAAAACGCCGAAGAAAGGCACAAUGGCCUAGAAAGGGACGGUCGGACUUGGAACGGGGUCCGAGGCCUCGAAAGUCCACAUCUAGCUACUGGGUGGUCCGAUUCUGAGUGAUCUCGAAGUUUCUUGCCCACAAAAGCCGAACGGUGACGCCCCAGACUCGGUUUCUUGGUUCCGUCCCAAAACGCCGAAGAAAGGCACAAUGGCCUAGAAAGGGACGGUCGGGACUUGGAACGGGGUCCGAGGCCUCGAAAGUCCACAUCUAGCUACUGGGUGGUCCGAUUCUGAGUGAUCUCGAAGUUUCUUGCCCACAAAAGCCGAACGGUGACGCCCCAGACUCGGUUUCUUGGUUCCGUCCCAAAACGCCGAAGAAAGGCACAAUGGCCUAGAAAGGGACGGUCGGACUUGGAACGGGGUCCGAGGCCUCGAAAGUCCACAUCUAGCUACUGGGUGGUCCGAUUCUGAGUGAUCUCGAAGUUUCUUGCCCACAAAAGCCGAACGGUGACGCCCCAGACUCGGUUUCUUGGUUCCGUCCCAAAACGCCGAAGAAAGGCACAAUGGCCUAGAAAGGGACGGUCGGACUUGGAACGGGGUCCGAGGCCUCGAAAGUCCACAUCUAGCUACUGGGUGGUCCGAUUCUGAGUGAUCUCGAAGUUUCUUGCCCACAAAAGCCGAACGGUGACGCCCCAGACUCGGUUUCUUGGUUCCGUCCCAAAACGCCGAAGAAAGGCACAAUGGCCUAGAAAGGGACGGUCGGACUUGGAACGGGGUCCGAGGCCUCGAAAGUCCACAUCUAGCUACUGGGUGGUCCGAUUCUGAGUGAUCUCGAAGUUUCUUGCCCACAAAAGCCGAACGGUGACGCCCCAGACUCGGUUUCUUGGUUCCGUCCCAAAACGCCGAAGAAAGGCACAAUGGCCUAGAAAGGGACGGUCGGACUUGGAACGGGUCCGAGGCCUCGAAAGUCCACAUCUAGCUACUGGGUGGUCCGAUUCUGAGUGAUCUCGAAGUUUCUUGCCCACAAAAGCCGAACGGUGACGCCCCAGACUCGGUUUCUUGGUUCCGUCCCAAAACGCCGAAGAAAGGCACAAUGGCCUAGAAAGGGACGGUCGGACUUGGAACGGGGUCCGAGGCCUCGAAAGUCCACAUCUAGCUACUGGGUGGUCCGAUUCUGAGUGAUCUCGAAGUUUCUUGCCCACAAAAGCCGAACGGUGACGCCCCAGACUCGGUUUCUUGGUUCCGUCCCAAAACGCCGAGAAAAGGCACAAUGGCCUAGAAAGGGACGGUCGGACUUGGAACGGGGUCCGAGGCCUCGAAAGUCCACAUCUAGCUACUGGGUGGUCCGAUUCUGAGUGAUCUCGAAGUUUCUUGCCCACAAAAGCCGAACGGUGACGCCCCAGACUCGGUUUCUUGGUUCCGUCCCAAAACGCCGAAGAAAGGCACAAUGGCCUAGAAAGGGACGGUCGGACUUGGAACGGGGUCCGAGGCCUCGAAAGUCCACAUCUAGCUACUGGGUGGUCCGAUUCUGAGUGAUCUCGAAGUUUCUUGCCCACAAAAGCCGAACGGUGACGCCCCAGACUCGGUUUCUUGGUUCCGUCCCAAAACGCCGAAGAAAGGCACAAUGGUCCUAGAAAGGGACGGUCGGACUUGGAACGGGGUCCGAGGCCUCGAAAGUCCACAUCUAGCUACUGGGUGGUCCGAUUCUGAGUGAUCUCGAAGUUUCUUGCCCACAAAAGCCGAACGGUGACGCCCCAGACUCGGUUUCUUGGUUCCGUCCCAAAACGCCGAAGAAAGACACAAUGGCCUAGAAAGGGACGGUCGGACUUGGAACGGGGUCCGAGGCCUCGAAAGUCCACAUCUAGCUACUGGGUGGUCCGAUUCUGAGUGAUCUCGAAGUUUCUUGCCCACAAAAAGCCGAACGGUGACGCCCAGACUCGGUUUCUUGGUUCCGUCCCAAAACGCCGAAGAAAGGCACAAUGGCCUAGAAAGGGACGGUCGGACUUGGAACGGGGUCCGAGGCCUCGAAAGUCCACAUCUAGCUACUGGGUGGUCCGAUUCUGAGUGAUCUCGAAGUUUCUUGCCCACAAAAGCCGAACGGUGACGCCCCAGACUCGGUUUCUUGGUUCCGUCCCAAAACGCCGAAGAAAGGCACAAUGGCCUAGAAAGGGACGGUCGGACUUGGAACGGGGUCCGAGGCCUCGAAAGUCCACAUCUAGCUACUGGGUGGUCCGAUUCUGAGUGAUCUCGAAGUUUCUUGCCCACAAAAGCCGAACGGUGACGCCCCAGACUCGGUUUCUUGGUUCCGUCCCAAAACGCCGAAGAAAGGCACAAUGGCCUAGAAAGGGACGGUCGGACUUGGAACGGGGUCCGAGGCCUCGAAAGUCCACAUCUAGCUACUGGGUGGUCCGAUUCUUUGUGAUCUCGAAGUUUCUUGCCCACAAAAGCCGAACGGUGACGCCCCAGACUCGGUUUCUUGGUUCCGUCCCAAAACGCCGAAGAAAGGCACAAUGGCCUAGAAAGGGACGGUCGGACUUGGAACGGGGUCCGAGGCCUCGAAAGUCCACAUCUAGCUACUGGGUGGUCCGAUUCUGAGUGAUCUCGAAGUUUCUUGCCCACAAAAGCCGAACGGUGACGCCCCAGACUCGGUUUCUUGGUUCCGUCCCAAAACGCCGAAGAAAGGCACAAUGGCCUAGAAAGGGACGGUCGGACUUGGAACGGGGUCCGAGGCCUCGAAAGUCCACAUCUAGCUACUGGGUGGUCCGAUUCUGAGUGAUCUCGAAGUUUCUUGCCCACAAAAGCCGAACGGUGACGCCCCAGACUCGGUUUCUUGGUUCCGUCCCAAAACGCCGAAGAAAGGCACAAUGGCCUAGAAAGGGACGGUCGGACUUGGAACGGGGUCCGAGGCCUCGAAAGUCCACAUCUAGCUACUGGGUGGUCCGAUUCUGAGUGAUCUCGAAGUUUCUUGCCCACAAAAGCCGAACGGUGACGCCCCAGACUCGGUUUCUUGGUUCCGUCCCAAAAACGCCGAAGAAAGGCCCAAUGGCCUAGAAAGGGACGGUCGGACGUGGAACGGGGUCCGAGGCGUCGAAAGUCAACAUCUAGCUACUGGGUGGUCCGAUUCUGAGUGAUCUCGAAGUUUAUUGCCCACAAAAGCCGAACGGUGACGCCCCAGACUCGGUUUCUUGGUUCCGUCCCAAAACGCCGAAGAAAGGCACAAUGGCCUAGAAAGGGACGGUCGGACUUGGAACGGGGUCCGAGGCCUCGAAAGUCCAC